rnacentral:rRNA from 1 species
CCUACGGGUGGCAGCAGUGAGGAAUAUUGGUCAAUGGCCGGAAGGCUGAACCAGCCAAGUCGCGUGAGGGAAUAAGGCCCUAUGGGUCGUAAACCUCUUUUGUCAGGGAGCAAAGGCGUCCACGUGUGGACGAGAGGAGAGUACCUGAAGAAAAAGCAUCGGCUAACUCCGUGCCAGCAGCCGCGGUAAUACGUAGGGAGCGAGCGUUAUCCGGAAUUAUUGGGCGUAAAGGGUGCGUAGAUGGCAUAGUAAGUCUUUUGUAAAAAUGCUGGGCUCAACCCAGUAGGGCAAAAGAUACUGCAAAGCUAGAGUAUGACAGAGGCAAGUGGAACUACAUGUGUAGCGGUAAAAUGCGUAAAUAUAUGUAAGAACACCAGUGGCGAAGGCGGCUUGCUGGGUCGAUACUGACAUUGAGGCACGAAAGCGUGGGGAGCAAACAGGAUUAGAUACCCCUGUAGUC